GACAGAGGGGGCAAGCGUUGCUCGGAAUUACUGGGCGUAAAGGGCGCGUAGGCGGGAUGGCAAGUCGGUCGUGAAAUCCUUCGGCUCAACCGAAGAACGUCGAUCGAUACUGCUGUUCUUGAGGGUUGCAGAGGAGGCUGGAAUUCCAGGUGUAGCGGUGAAAUGCGUAGAUAUCUGGAGGAACACCGGUGGCGAAGGCGGCAUCCUGGACCAACACUGACGCUGAGUGAGCGAAAGCCAGGGGAGCAAAGCGGG
rnacentral:rRNA from 1 species